rnacentral:rRNA from 1 species
UGCGUAGGCGGUUAGAUAAGUCAGAGGUGAAAGCCCGCAGCUCAACUGUGGAAUUGUCUUUGAUACUGUUUGACUUGAAUCAAGUUGAGGUUGGCGGAAUGUGACAUGUAGCGGUGAAAUGCAUAGAUAUGUCAUAGAACACCAAUUGCGAAGGCAGCUAACUAGACUUGUAUUGACGCUGAGGCACGAAAGCGUGGGGAGCGAACAGGAUUAGAUACCCUGGUAGUCC